UUGUAAAGCACUUUUGUCCGGAAAGAAAACGCUCUGGUUAAUACCCGGGGUGGAUGACGGUACCGGAAGAAUAAGCACCGGCUAACUACGUGCCAGCAGCCCGCGGUAAUACGUAGGGUGCGAGCGUUAAUCGGAAUUACUGGGCGUAAAGCGUGCGCAGGCGGUUCGCUAAGACCGAUGUGAAAUCCCCGGGCUUAACCUGGGAACUGCAUUGGUGACUGGCGGGCUCGAGUAUGGCAGAGGGGGGUAGAAUUCCACGUGUAGCAGUGAAAUGCGUAGAGAUGUGGAGGAAUACCGAUGGCGAAGGCAGCCCCCUGGGCCAAUACUGACGCUCAUGCACGAAAGCGUGGGGAGCAAACAGGAUUAGAUACCCUGGUAGUCCACGCCCUAAACGAUGUCAACUAGUUGUUGGGGAUUCAUUUCCUUAGUAACGAAGCUAACGCGUGAAGUUGACCGCCUGGGGAGUACGGUCGCAAGAUUAAAACUCAAAGGAAUUGACGGGGACCCGCACAAGCGGUGGAUGAUGUGGAUUAAUUCGAUGCAACGCGAAAAACCUUACCUACCCUUGACAUGGACGGAACCCUGGUGAGAGCUGGGGGUGCCCGAAAGGGAGC
rnacentral:rRNA from 1 species